rnacentral:rRNA from 1 species
AGCGAACGCUGGCGGCAGGCCUAACACAUGCAAGUCGAACGAACCCUUCGGGGUUAGUGGCGGACGGGUGAGUAACACGUGGGAACGUGCCUUUAGGUUCGGACUAACUCAGGGAAACUUGUGCUAAUACCGACUGUGCCCUUCGGGGGAAAGGUUUAUCGCCUUUAGAGUGGCCCGCGUCUGAUUAGCUAGUUGGUGUGGUACUGGCUCACCAAGGCUACGAUCCGUAGCUGGUCUGAGUGGAUGGCCGGCCACAUUGGGACUGAGACACGGCCCAAACUCCUACGGGAGGCAGCAGGGGGGAAUCUUGCGCAAUGGGCGAAAGCCUGACGCAGCCAUGCCGCGUGGAUGAUGAAGGUCUUAGGAUUGUAAAAUCCUUUCACCGGUGAAGAUAAUGACUGUAGCCGGAGAAGAAGCCCCGGCUAACUUCGUGCCAGCAGCCGCCGUAAGAC